rnacentral:lncRNA from 1 species
AAAUUUGAUAUUGCGCAUGCGCCAUGUAGAAAACUGUUCCGACUAUUCGCUCUGCCUUGGCGCUGCUGUCGCCGUGUUUACAAGUUUUAUUUUUUGUAAAAGCGAUAGUUAUUGUUUGAAUAUUUAUCCCGUGCGAAAGAAAUGCUUAAAAAAUAAACGGAGAGAGAGAAAAAUUUAUACGGUCAGUUCUGACAAUUCGCCUGCGCUACCGCUAAAGACGACGCUCCUUCCUAAUUUGAAAUAAUGGCGUUGAAACGAAGGACGUUAACUGGUCAUAGGGAAAAGAAAAGGAGAUGUACUGAAGCACGUGUUCAAUAUGGACAGGAAAAAACCGUUUC